GGGUCUGUGAGGAACAGUUUGGAGUGCUUCUAGUUUUUCUCCCCAAUAAAAAGGACUCUCUGAAGGCCUGGGUAAUGGCCCACUUCUGUGCUUACCUUCCACUGCCAAUCGAUGGGAAAGCAAUGGAUUUGAUCUUCUUCUCAUCCGCCAAAGCCAAGCAGUUCUUUACUGUCUUCUCCAGCAGCUCUUCACACUUGUCUGAACCCCAGCUGGGACUAUUGCAGUGGAUAACAAACUUGGCAGGCAAGCCAUGGCCUGAGCUUACUGCAGCUAUAUACAGAGAGAUAUAUCAAAGUCAGUAGCACAAUAUUUAACUUCACAUCAAUAAGGGUUGGUUUAACUGAACAAUAUAUUAGCAACCAUGGCUGACUAAGAAGAUGAAGUUCAAGUAACACUGUGAUGUCAGAAGACAAAUUUUAAAUGGGGGUCCUCAACUUUUUUUUUUAUACCAGUGAGCCACAUUCAAAUGUAAAAAGUCUUAGGGAGCAACACAAGCAUGAAAAAAGCUUAUAGGGAGUGCCAAAUAUGGGCCGUGAUUGGCUAUUUGGUAGCAUCAUGUGGACUGGAAGCCUACAGGAUGUUCUCUUUUUGAGUACACCUUGUCUUUAUGUAUCAAAAACUUGCCUCCAAGCCAGAAAUUCGGUGAGCAACAUGGUGCUUAUGAGCCAGUGGUUGGGAUCACUGUUUUAAAGGAACACCGCGGAGGUAACCUGCAGUGGUAGGCUUAUAACACAUAAACUUCCUUUCAUUGCUGUAUCCUCAUAGAUAUACAGGACUCCCUAUGCCACUGUACACUGCAUUUCAUGCUAUGGAAAGGCCAAUUUUUUCCUGCCUUAUUAUUUUGAGCUAAAUUAUGAGACACAUAGCACUUUUAAAUCUUACGUGAAAUAUGUUUCUUUACAAAUACGAAGAACUUGAUUUCUGUGUAUUAACACAGCAGUCUCUGCAAGUUCCUGGGUUGGUGUUAUCCAAUAUCUUUGUAAACGUGACUAUGUUUCACUUUAAUUUGCUCUGAAUGCUCUUCUUUCCUCGGAGUUAUUACUUUUUUCGGUGUUACAGAGACAUUAAAGGGCUAUCAUGAAGGGACCAAAUUAAAGUGACUGCAGAAAAAACCAGGGGUCACCUAUAAAUUUUAAAAAGUAUACAAUGAGCGGCCGUGCAGUUUGGUGAUCCUUCCAAACAUACUGAAGAACUUGAGCACUAGACAUUUCCAAUUUGUUCUAAUUUAUGUCCAACAGUUUCAUUUGGCAUAUGGAGAAGGUGUCAUAAAUUUAAGAGAAAUCUAAUAAAACAAACUGACAUGCAUGUAAUGGGAUGGGGGGAUAGUAUGCAAAAUGUGGCCAAUGUGGUGAUUUAAGUGUUUCACAUUAACACUGCAGUGGUAUAAUGUAACUAUAGUGCAUGAUGGUGAACCUGUGCUGUCCCUUGAAAUAGGAGUGGAUCUGUGCUGAACUCUGCAAGUUGAGCUGAAAGUUAUAUCAUUUACAAUGAAACAGCUAUGAAGUUUGUAAAGGUGUGAGUUUUUGAAAGCUCAAAGGCAUGUACAUUUACAAUAAAAUCACAAAAUACCUACAGUAUAAAUGAGAUGAAAGGGGUAAUUAGCACCAUUCAACACAACAUAUUUUCUUAUAGCAUAUUGGUACAUGUGACUUAUUUGUAUAUUGUCAUCUUAUUUACCUGUAUUGUGUAACAUUUUCAAACAAUUAUAAUGGUGACAGGAAGGGGGGAAAGGAGGUGGAGAGCCAUGGGUAAAUGUCAGAAACUUUUUUAAAAUUAGGUAGGUUACAGUACGUGGGUGGGGGGAAUGCAGGAAAAGAUAACAGCCUGAAUAAGGGCCAACCUGUGUGAUCAGUUACAGAAGGAAGCCAUUAGCGGGUUUGGAAAACACUCAUCAGGUCCGGAUUGGCAAUUUGUGGGUUCCAGAGGGGCUGCUGUAAGAUGACAUAGACAGUGACUAUUUAUUGGGCUGUUGGGGGGCUGUUUGGGCAUCUGUAUACUUUUAAAGUGCCAUGAACUAUUUUUAAUCCCAGUCCAUGGCUGGUACUCAUAACAGGUCAGAUAGGCAACUGACUUAUCUGCAGUAUAUGGAGCUUUACUUACAGACAUGGCAAGAUACAAAUUGGUACUCACCUUCAAA